UACGUAGGGUGCAAGCGUUAUCCGGAAUUAUUGGGCGUAAAGAGCUCGUAGGCGGUUCGUCACGUCGGCUGUGAAAUCCCGAGGCUCAACCUCGGGUCUGCAGUCGAUACGGGCGGACUGGAGUACUGCAGGGGAGACUGGAAUUCCUGGUGUAGCGGUGAAAUGCGCAGAUAUCAGGAGGAACACCGGUGGCGAAGGCGGGUCUCUGGGCAGUAACUGACGCUGAGGAGCGAAAGCGUGGGGAGCGAACAGG
rnacentral:rRNA from 1 species